GACGGGGAAGUCGCCGGUGUGGCGUUCGAUGUACUCGUAGUACGUCGAACGGUCGAACUCGGCCUCGGCCGGGUUCGGGUCCUGAUCCUGUCCC
rnacentral:tRNA from 2 species